AUUGAACGCUGGCGGCAGGCCUAACACAUGCAAGUCGAACGGUAACAGGAAGAAGCUUGCUUCUUUGCUGACGAGUGGCGGACGGGUGAGUAAUGUCUGGGAAACUGCCUGAUGGAGGGGGAUAACUACUGGAAACGGUAGCUAAUACCGCAUAACGUCGCAAGACCAAAGAGGGGGACCUUCGGGCCUCUUGCCAUCGGAUGUGCCCAGAUGGGAUUAGCUAGUAGGUGGGGUAACGGCUCACCUAGGCGACGAUCCCUAGCUGGUCUGAGAGGAUGACCAGCCACACUGGAACUGAGACGCGGUCCAGACGCCUACGGGAGGCAGCAGUGGGGAAUAUUGCACAAUGGGCGCAAGCCUGAUGCAGCCAUGCCGCGUGUAUGAAGAAGGCCUUCGGGUUGUAAAGUACUUUCAGCGGGGAGGAAGGGAGUAAAGUUAAUACCUUUACUCAUUGACGUUACCCGCAGAAGAAGCACCGGCUAACUCCGUG
rnacentral:rRNA from 1 species